AAAACUAUAAGUUAACUAAGUAGUACCUCAUUCCCCUUUGGAACAAAAUAAUUUUAAAUUGAGCAAGCUUGCCAACAAUCAGUAUAACAACCUGUAAAAAUAUUCCCAAAGUUAAUUAACUUGCAUCAGUACUAUAUCAUUCAGUCAAAGCACUAAAGGAAAAAUUCUAAUUUUAAUAAUAUUAGCACUGAAUUAAUUCCAGCCAAUCGAAUCUCUAUCUGUUUCCAAUCUUCAGCUUACAUUCACAAUGAAUUGUACAUUUCAAACUUUUCAAUUAACCUCUCCCUCAUUGGCACAAUGUGCACCUUACAUUAAGAGUGAGUUGUACAUUACAAAAAUAUAGUGCACAACCAUGUUAAAUACAAAAAAUAAUAGAAACAUGAAAGCCUGAUCCAAAAUUUGUACCACGUAAUGAUUAUAGUUAGUUUAUUAAUAACCACAACAAACACAACGCAUGCAAGCAUAACAAAGAAAACUAAUUACCACACUUCAAAUCAUACUGUAGAAGUACACAUUGCCCAUAUGUUAAACAACUCAUACACAACCAUAAACCAAACCAUAAUAUAAAUAACACCAUUUGUAGUUUUGAAGUGCAAUCACAUGUUGCUUUAUGUUGUUGCUUUAUGGGGUUGUUUGAAAUAACCUAUUGCUUAAUGUAGUGGUGCAGAGUUGCAUGUUGCAUGUUGCCUGUUGCUAUUUGGCUCUGGUAGCAAGUUUAUGUGUCAUGUUACAUGUUGAUCAAUGAUGUUUGCUUUAUGUAGAUCCUAGGCUAAUGUUCCACUACUUUAUAUUGUUGUUAGUUCGUACUACUCUUAUUGUAUAUAAAAACAUAUAUUUUGAUAUUUAUCAUAAAUUUAAAUAUAAACAUAUUUAUAAAUAGUAUAUAUUUAUAUAAUUAGAUAUUUAAAAUAAAUAUAAAUAUAUACUAUAUAUAUAUAUAUAAUCUCCUACCUAGAACUACCCAAUAACCUCCUAGCUACCCACCCAGCCCCUCCUCUCCUUCUCCAAAAAUCCAACCUCUGAAUUCAAAUUUCAAUACUUUCUUAUUAUCUCCAUCCCUUUUUCCAAUUUUUGCAGUUAUAUCAAAUAUUAAAAUUGAAAAUUCAUAGAAGAUAUUAAUACCUUAAAGUAGCGGGCGGAGCCAUGUGCAUUAGUUAUUCCAUGUUCCGGUCCAAGCUGUUGCUGUUUUUGCUAAACCUGUUUACUCAAUUUGAAUAUUUACAAGUGUUAAAAAAACUAAUAAGUUAACUAAGUAGUACCUCAUUCCCCAUUGGAACAAAAUAAUUUUAAAUUGAGCAAGCUUGCCAACAAUCAAUAUAACAACCUGUAAAAAUAUUCCCAAAGUUAAUCAACUUGCAUCAGUACUAUAUCAUUCAGUCAAAGCACUAAAGGAAAAAUUCUAAUUUUAAUAAUAAUACCUCUAGUGCAAAAAAUUCUCCAUGCUUCCAAAUAUUAGCACUGAAUUAAUUUCAGCCAAUCGAAUCUCUAUCUGCUUCCAAUCUUCAGCUUACAUUAACAAUGAAUUGUACAUUUCAAAAUUUUCAAUUAACCUCUCCCUCAUUGGCACAAUGUGCACCUUACACUAAGAGUGAGUUGUACAUUACAAAAAUAUAGUGCACAACCUCGUUAAAUACAAAAAAUAAUAGAAACAUGAAAGCCUGAUCCAAAAUUUGUACCACGUCAUGAUUAUAGUUAGUUUAUUAAAUAACCACAAUAAACACAACGCAUGCAAGCAUAACAAAGAAAACUAAUUACCACAUUUCAAAUCAUACUGUAGAAGUACACAUUGCCCAUAUGUUAAACAACUCAUACACAACCAUAAACCAAACCAUAAUAAAAAUAACACCAUUUGUAGUGUUGUAGUGCAAUCACAUGUUGCUUUAUGUUGUUGUUGCUUUAUGGGGUUAUUCAAAAUAAAAUAUUGCUUAAUGUAGUGGUGCAGAGUUGCAUGUUGCCAGUUGCUAUUUGGGGCUAAUGUUCUACUACUUUAUUGUUGCUAGUUCGUACUACUCUUAUUGUAUAUAAAAACAUAUAUUUAGAUAUUUAUCAUAAAUUUAAAUAUAAACAUAUUUAUAAAUAGUAUAUAUUUAUAUAAUUAGAUAUUUAUAAUAAAUAUAAAUAUAUACUAUAUAUAUAUAUAUAUAUAUUUAGAACCUAUAAAAAUAAUAAUCUCCUACCUAGAACUACCCAGCCCCUCCUCUCCUUCUCCAAAACUCCAACCUCCGAAUUCAAAUUUCAAUACUUUCUUACUAUCUCUAUCCCUUUUUCCUAUUUUUGCAGCUAUAUCAAAUAUUAAAAUUGAAAAUUCAUAGAAUGGUAAAAAGAUAUUAAUACCUUAAAGUAGCAGGCGGAGCCAUGUGCAUUAGUACUUCCAUGUUCCAGUCCAAGCUGUUGCUGUUUUUGCUAAACCUGUUUACUCAAUUUGAAUAUUUACAAGUGUUAAAAAAACUAUAAGUUAACUAAGUAGUACCUCAUUCCCCAUUGGAACAAAAUAAUUUUAAAUUGAACAAGCUUGCCAACAAUCAGUAUAACAACCUGUAAAAAUAUUCCCAAAGUUAAUUAACUUGCAUCAGUACUAUAUCAUUCAGUCAAAGCACUAAAGGAAAAAUUCUAAUUUUAAUAAUAUUACCUCUGGUGUAAAAAAUUCUCCAUGCUUCCAAAUAUUAGCACUUAAUUAAUUCCAGUCAUCGAAUCUCUAUCUGCUUCCAAUCUUCUGCUUACAUUAACAGUGAAUUGUACAUUUCAAAAUUUUCACUUAACACAACCACGUUAAAUACAAAAAAUAAUAGAUACAUGAAAAUCUCAUCCAAAAUUCGUACCACGUAAUAAUUAUAGUUAGUUUAUUAAAUAACCACAACCAACACAACACAUUCAAGCAUAACAACGAAAACUAAUUACCACACUUCAAACCAUAGUGUAGAAGUACACAUUGCCAAUAUGUUAAACAUCUCAUACACAACCAUAAACCAAACCAUAAUAGAAAUAACACCGUUUGUAGUGUUGUAGUGCAAUCACAAGUUGCUUUAUGUUGUUGCUUUGUGGGGUUUUAAAAUAACCUGUUGCUUAAUGUAGUUGUGCAAAAGUUGCAUGUUGGCUUUGCUAUUUGGCUCUGGUAUCAAGCUUUUGUGUCAUUUUACCUGUUGCUUCAUGUUGUUUGUUUUAUGUAGUUCCUAGGUUAAUGUGCUACUACUUUUUUGUUACUAGUUCGUACUACUAUUAUUGUAUAUAAAAACAUAUAUUUAGAUAUUUAUAAUAAAUAUAAAUAUAUACUAUAUUUUUAUAUAUAUAAAUAUAUACUAUAUUUAUAUAUAUAUAUAUAUAUAUGUAUGUAUAUAUAGUUAGAACCUAUAAUUCCAGCCCCCUCCUCUCUUUCUCCAAAACUCCAACCUCCGAGUUAUAAUUCCAAUACUUUCUUACUACCUCCAUCCUUUUUUCCUAUUUUUGUAGUUAUAUCAAAUAUUAAAAUUGAAAAUUCAUAGAAUGGUAUGAAGAUAUUAAUACCUUAAAGUAGCGGGCGGAGCCAUGUGCCUUUGUUCCGGUCCAAGCUGUCGUUGUUUUUGCUAAACCUGUUUACUCAAAAACUAAUGAACAAAAUUGCAUCAAUACAAUAUCAUUCAGUUAAAGCACAAGAACAAAUUCUAACAAAACUUCUUCUUACUUGCAAAUAUCAACAUUGAAUCAAUUCCAACCAAUUGAAUCUCCUUCUUCUUACACAAAGAAUCUUUAACUUAACAGUGAAUUCUACAUUACAAAAAUUCCACUGAACCUCUCUCCUAGGAACAAUCUUUAACAGUAAUUUCACAUUACAAAUUUUUCCUUUAGCACAACCAUACAGAGAUAUAGAGAUAAACAGAGAACUCCUCCUUAAAGUAUAAAAUAAACUAUAUCAUUAAAUACAGUAUUACAAAUACUGAUACAUGAAAAUACUCAUCCAAAAUCCCUUUACAAUAUAAUAGCAAAUAAAGUAAUGGUAAUCAAUAACCACCACCAUCACAACUCAUUCAAGCAAAACCAAGUAAAAGGAUUAUUAUAUUUCAAAAUAGUGUGCAGAAUUACACACACUUCUCAUGUGUUUUGUCAGCCCAUAAAUCAAUCUAUAAAUAGAAAUUGCUGCAUUUUUGUGCUAUUGUACCCGUCACCUGCUGCUUAAUGCUGUUGAUUUUUGGUUCUAUUAGUGAACCAAUCCAUAAGUAGAAAUAGCAGCUCGUAUGUUGCUUAAUGUUGUUUCCGAUACAUAAAUAAAAAUUGCUACUUAAAUGGCUAGUUGUUUGGUAGUAGUGUGGGAAUGCCAUCGACUGGAGUUUGGGUUGUUGAGCAUGUUGCUUUAUGUUGUUGCCUCUUUCGUUCUAGUGGCAAGCUUAUGUGCUAUAUAUCACAUGUUUCUCCAUGUUGUUGCUUUUAGGUUAUUCCAUAGUAACUAGUGUACUGCUGUGGUUCAGCAAAGAUUAUAGUUAAACUAUUAUAGAAUGAUAAGAUAUUAUUACCAUAAGUAACAGACAAGUGUAGUAGUGCUUCCGAGUUCAGGUCCAAAAAGAGUUCACGUCAAACCUGCAGCAUAAAGGCAAACAUUAGACGCACCAGAUAAACAAAUGUCUCGAUAUGAUGAAUGCAUAUGCUUUCUUAUAUGAAAUAAUCAUUUAAACAAAUUCUGUUACAUACCUUUGUAGUUUCUUUACCCCUGUAAGCUGUGUACAAAAGCUCCU
rnacentral:lncRNA from 1 species